CACGUAGGGCGCAAGCGUUGUCCGGAAUUAUUGGGCGUAAAGAGCUCGUAGGCGGUCUGUUGCGUCCGCUGUGAAAACUCGGGGCUUAACCCCGAACCUGCAGUGGAUACGGGCAGACUAGAGGUAGGUAGGGGAGAAUGGAAUUCCCGGUGUAGCGGUGAAAUGCGCAGAUAUCGGGAGGAACACCGGUGGCGAAGGCGGUUCUCUGGGCCUUACCUGACGCUGAGGAGCGAAAGCGUGGGGAGCGAACAGG
rnacentral:rRNA from 1 species